AAAGACAAGAAAAAGAAAAGUUGAGGAAGGAGAUAAGAAAGCUUUUGAUUGGGAUAGCUUGAGAAAGGAAGUCCAAUCAAAGAGUGGGAAAAAAGAAAGAAGCAAGGAUGCAAUGGACUCAUUGAACUACGAAGCAGUCAGAAGUGCAGCAGUUAAAGAAAUUUCUGAUGCUAUUAAGGAACGAGGGAUGAACAACAUGCUGGCAGAGCGAAUUAAGGACUUCCUCGAUAGACUGGUGAGGGAUCA
rnacentral:misc_RNA from 1 species